rnacentral:rRNA from 1 species
UACAGGGGGGGGCAAGCGUUGUUCGGAAUUACUGGGCGUAAAGGGUUCGUAGGUGGCCACUUAAGUCAGACGUGAAAUCCCUCAGCUUAACUGGGGAACUGCGUCUGAUACUGAGUGGCUUGAGUGCAGGAGAGGAAUGCGGAAUUCCUGGUGUAGCGGUGGAAUGCGCAGAUAUCAGGAGGAACACCGAUGGCGAAGGCGGAUCUCUGGGCCUGCCUGACGCUGAGGCGCGAAAAGCUAGGGGAGCGAACAGG